ACGGGUGCGUAACGCGUGGGAAUCUGCCCUUGGGUUCGGAAUAACAGUGAGAAAUUACUGCUAAUACCGGAUGAUGUCUUCGGACCAAAGAUUUAUCGCCCAGGGAUGAGCCCGCGUAGGAUUAGCUAGUUGGUGGGGUAAUGGCCUACCAAGGCGACGAUCCUUAGCUGGUCUGAGAGGAUGAUCAGCCACACUGGGACUGAGACACGGCCCAGACUCCUACGGGAGGCAGCAGUGGGGAAUAUUGGACAAUGGGCGAAAGCCUGAUCCAGCAAUGCCGCGUGAGUGAUGAAGGCCUUAGGGUUGUAAAGCUCUUUUACCCGGGAUGAUAAUGACAGUACCGGGAGAAUAAGCUCCGGCUAACUCCGUGCCAGCAGCCGCGGUAAUACGGAGGGAGCUAGCGUUGUUCGGAAUUACUGGGCGUAAAGCGCGCGUAGGCGGCUGCUCAAGUCAGAGGUGAAAGCCCGGGGCUCAACCCCGGAACUGCCUUUGAAACUAGGUAGCUAGAAUCUUGGAGAGGUCAGUGGAAUUCCGAGUGUAGAGGUGAAAUUCGUAGA
rnacentral:rRNA from 4 species